rnacentral:rRNA from 1 species
GGGUUGUGAGGUUAAGCGACUAAGCGUACACGGUGGAUGCCCUGGCAGUCAGAGGCGAUGAAGGACGUGCUAAUCUGCGAAAAGCGUCGGUAAGGUGAUAUGAACCGUUACAGCCGGCGAUGUCCGAAUGGGGAAACCCAGUGUGAUUCGUCACACUAUCGUUAACUGAAUACAUAGGUUAACGAGGCGAACCGGGGGAACUGAAACAUCUAAGUACCCCGAGGAAAAGAAAUCAACCGAGAUUCCCCAGUAGCGGCGAGCGAACGGGGAGCAGCCCAGAGUCUGAAUCAGCUUGUGUGUUAGUGGAACGGUCUGGAAAGUCCGACGGUACAGGGUGAUAGUCCCGUACACCAAAAUGCACAGGCUGUGAACUCGAAGAGUAGGGCGGGACACGUGGUAUCCUGUCUGAAUAUGGGGGACCAUCCUCCAAGGCUAAAUACUCCUGACUGACCGAUAGUGAACCAGUACCGUGAGGGAAAGGCGAAAAGAACCCCGGCGAGGGGAGUGAAAAAGAACCUGAAACCGUGUACGUACAAGCAGUGGGAGCACCUUCGGGUGUGACUGCGUACCUUUUGUAUAAUGGGUCAGCGACUUAUAUUCUGUAGCAAGGUUAACCGUAUAGGGGAGCCGCAGGGAAACCGAGUCUUAACUGGGCGUUAAGUUGCAGGGUAUAGACCCGAAACCCGGUGAUCUAGCCAUGGGCAGGUUGAAGGUUGGGUAACACUAACUGGAGGACCGAACCGACUAAUGUUGAAAAAUUAGCGGAUGACUUGUGGCUGGGGGUGAAAGGCCAAUCAAACCGGGAGAUAGCUGGUUCUCCCCGAAAGCUAUUUAGGUAGCGCCUCGUGAAUUCAUCUUCGGGGGUAGAGCACUGUUUCGGCUAGGGGUCAUCCCGACUUACCAACCCGAUGCAAACUACGAAUACCGAAGAAUGUUAUCACGGGAGACACACGGCGGGUGCUAACGUCCGUCGUGAAGAGGGAAACAACCCAGACCGCCAGCUAAGGUCCCAAAGUCACAGUUAAGUGGGAAACGAUGUGGGAAGGCACAGACAGCCAGGAUGUUGGCUUAGAAGCAGCCAUCAUUUAAAGAAAGCGUAAUAGCUCACUGGUCGAGUCGGCCUGCGCGGAAGAUGUAACGGGGCUAAACUGUGCACCGAAGCUGCGGCAGCGACACUAUGUGUUGUUGGGUAGGGGAGCGUUCUGUAAGCCUGCGAAGGUGGCCUGUGAGGGUUGCUGGAGGUAUCAGAAGUGCGAAUGCUGACAUAAGUAACGAUAAUGCGGGUGAAAAGCCCGCACGCCGGAAGACCAAGGGUUCCUGUCCAACGUUAAUCGGGGCAGGGUGAGUCGACCCCUAAGGCGAGGCCGAAAGGCGUAGUCGAUGGGAAACAGGUUAAUAUUCCUGUACUUGGUGUUACUGCGAAGGGGGACGGAGAAGGCUAUGUUAGCCGGGCGACGGUUGUCCCGGUUUAAGCAUGUAGGCGGAGGUUCCAGGUAAAUCCGGUACCUUUUUAACGCUGAGGUGUGAUGACGAGGCACUACGGUGCUGAAGUAACAAAUGCCCUGCUUCCAGGAAAAGCCUCUAAGCAUCAGGUAACAUUAAUCGUACCCCAAACCGACACAGGUGGUCAGGUAGAGAAUACCAAGGCGCUUGAGAGAACUCGGGUGAAGGAACUAGGCAAAAUGGUGCCGUAACUUCGGGAGAAGGCACGCUGAUAUGUAGGUGAAGCCCCUGCGGGUGGAGCUGAAAUCAGUCGAAGAUACCAGCUGGCUGCAACUGUUUAUUAAAAACACAGCACUGUGCAAACACGAAAGUGGACGUAUACGGUGUGACGCCUGCCCGGUGCCGGAAGGUUAAUUGAUGGGGUUAUCCGUAAGGAGAAGCUCUUGAUCGAAGCCCCGGUAAACGGCGGCCGUAACUAUAACGGUCCUAAGGUAGCGAAAUUCCUUGUCGGGUAAGUUCCGACCUGCACGAAUGGCGUAAUGAUGGCCAGGCUGUCUCCACCCGAGACUCAGUGAAAUUGAACUCGCUGUGAAGAUGCAGUGUACCCGCGGCAAGACGGAAAGACCCCGUGAACCUUUACUAUAGCUUGACACUGAACAUUGAGCCUUGAUGUGUAGGAUAGGUGGGAGGCUUUGAAGCGUGGACGCCAGUCUGCGUGGAGCCAACCUUGAAAUACCACCCUUUAAUGUUUGAUGUUCUAACGUUGGCCCCUUAUCGGGGUUGCGGACAGUGUCUGGUGGGUAGUUUGACUGGGGCGGUCUCCUCCCAAAGAGUAACGGAGGAGCACGAAGGUUAGCUAAUCCUGGUCGGACAUCAGGAGGUUAGUGCAAUGGCAUAAGCUAGCUUGACUGCGAGCGUGACGGCGCGAGCAGGUGCGAAAGCAGGUCAUAGUGAUCCGGUGGUUCUGAAUGGAAGGGCCAUCGCUCAACGGAUAAAAGGUACUCCGGGGAUAACAGGCUGAUACCGCCCAAGAGUUCAUAUCGACGGCGGUGUUUGGCACCUCGAUGUCGGCUCAUCACAUCCUGGGGCUGAAGUAGGUCCCAAGGGUAUGGCUGUUCGCCAUUUAAAGUGGUACGCGAGCUGGGUUUAGAACGUCGUGAGACAGUUCGGUCCCUAUCUGCCGUGGGCGCUGGAGAAUUGAGGGGGGCUGCUCCUAGUACGAGAGGACCGGAGUGGACGCAUCACUGGUGUUCGGGUUGUCAUGCCAAUGGCAUUGCCCGGUAGCUAAAUGCGGAAGAGAUAAGUGCUGAAAGCAUCUAAGCACGAAACUUGCCCCGAGAUGAGUUCUCCCUGAGACUUUAAGUCUCCUGAAGGAACGUUAAAGACGAUGACGUUGAUAGGUCGGGUGUGUAAGCGUAGCGAUACGUUGAGCUAACCGAUACUAAUGAACCGUGAGGCUUAACCUUACAACGCCGAAG